rnacentral:tRNA from 1 species
AAGUAAGCUUAGCUGGUUAGAGCAUUGUGCUAAUAAUGCAAAGAUUGUGGGUUCAAUCCCUAUUCACUUA